GAACCUGACGGGGUCAUAAGAUGCCUUCUAUGAGAACGAAUACUGAGGCAUCCGGUGGCAAGGAGUGAGGGUCUCCCCUGUAGGAAGCGUACAGAGAAGGAUCUAACAUUUAUGGAGUGGUUGCAAGGUGGGUGUGUAGCCUGUGGGUUGGACCAAUGUGGUCAAGAAAGUCCUGCCAAUGGGCAGUCAGAGGCGAUGGUGCCUCAGGGCCUGUUGGCAGCACCAGAGGCCAAGCCUUUCAUCGGCUUUCCCUGGCUCAGAAAAUAAAG